UUUCGAAUCAUUCACAAUGGGGGAAACCCUGAUGGUGCAACGCCGCGUGGGGGAUGAAGGUCUUCGGAUUGUAAACCCCUGUCACAUAGGACUAAACGUGAGGUUCAUAGCCUCACCUGAAUUAACUAUGAGAGGAAGUAGUGGCUAACUCCGUGCCAGCAGCCGCGGUAAUACGGAGACUACGAGCGUUACUCGGAUUCACUGGGCGUAAAGGGAGCGCAGGCGGAUUGAUGUGUUAGAUGUGAAAUCCUGGGGCUUAACUCCAGAACUGCGUCUAAAACUAUCUAUCUAGAGACUUGGAGAGGUAAGCGGAAUUUCUGGUGUAGCGGUAAAAUGCGCAGAUAUCAGAAGGAACACCGAUGGCGAAGGCAGCUUACUGGACAAGAUCUGACGCUCAGGCUCGAAAGCGUGGGGAGCAAAAG
rnacentral:rRNA from 1 species